UGUCCAAUCAGACGCAGCAAUCAAUCAGUCAAGCAGGAUUUCAUCAAGAACUGAAACAGCAUCAAGAUCUUGAAAAAGAAACUCUCCGAUUACCCCUCGAUUAAAAUGGUCUGUUUUCAUGAUCAAAUUUGGCUUUGGGGUUGUUUGAUUUAAAGUUAUUUUACAUCCAUGUUCGCGUUUCAGUUAUAUUGCUAGUCUACAUAUCCAUAACUUAUAGCUUGCUAGCUUUAAAUCAUUGCAUCUUUGAUUUAUUUAGCAUCUAAGCUAAUCUAAUGUAUGUACUUAUUUAUUUAGGUAUAAAAUAUUUAAUGGUCCUGGGGUUUUAAUAACCAAGGUGUUGUGUAUUUGAUAACAUAUCAUACACUCAUCACAAAAUCUGCAGGAUGAUGAGCUGAAAGGACUGUUGUAUAACGUUAAGACCCAGAUUCACAGACAGGGCUUAGACUAAGCCAGGUUUAGGUCAUAGUUCAAUUAGGACAUUUAAGAAAUGUUUAUAAACCUGCUUAGGAAAAAAAAAAGCAUUACUGGUGUGCAUCUUGAGACAAUACAAAGGCACUGAUAUUUUAAGAUCAGUCAGUUCACGUUUCUUUCAGUUGAAACAGCUCAGACUUACAUUUUAGUCUAGGACUAUUGUAACACUCCAAAAUAGGAAGUAAAGAAACCAAUAGGUUUUUAGCUGGACAAGAUCAAUUUAUUUGGAUAUUAAUAGCGGAGGAGACUCAAGCACACAACUUUAAUAAAUACAAAUAUGACACUUUUAUUCUUAUACAAUAAUACAGAUCUUAAAACCUCAAGAGGGCAGAGCAGCAGGUUAAGAUGGUGGUCACAAGAACACUUCAAUUACUAAUGUAUUUGGCAAAUCACAAAUGACCAGGACUCAUUAAACCAGGACUCCCCGGCGAGGAAAACACUGUUGGUAGCAUUCUCAGGCAGAGUUGCAAAAAGCCUUAAUCAAAAUUUAUGCAAAUUUGCAAUAUUUUCUUUCUUGUUUAAGUUGGACUCCCAAAAGAAAGAUGCCUUGAUUUUCCCCCUAUGGACCCCAGGGCACUGUCUCCUGUGUGUGAGUGAGGUUUUUAUUUUUUUUUUUCAUUUUUUAUGUGAUUAUUCCAAAAUCACACUUAUGGCAAGAGGAAUAAUUUUACUAAAGAAAAAAAAAACACAUUUAAGUUGUAGUUCCUCUUGAUUUUUAGCCUUUUGUAAUCCUGCCAUUGACUUGGAUCUUUCAUGUAAUGAAGACUUGUUGACUCAUUUCCAAGACUUCUUUCUCUGUAGGUUAUUAAGCCACUGAAAAGAGAGAUUCUGUUCCUGGAUUUACAAUAUUCAGACAGAGGACAAGGCUUUACACAUGGACCUUAUCGAAACAUCUUAAGGUUUCUAAAGGAAGUUGUUUGCUGUAAGGCGUGUUCCUGAGCCUUGUUCAGACUUUUAGAAGUACUGUUAGUCGUGUUCCCCAGACUUUCUCAGAUAGUUUGAACUUUAGCUGUUUGUCAGUCAUGUUCCUAAGACUGACAUGUUCUGCAGCUUAAAAACACUGUGUUCUUUAACAGAACUUUUUGUGUCUGUUCCAGUACUUUUAGACAUUACUGAUGCCAUUUUUGUUUUUAUCAGGUCUGUUGCACAGCACAUUGUCUCGGGACCAUUGACUGAAUUAACAGGGCUGGAUGUUAAGGGGCUCCCUCGACAACAUUACGGUAUUGACUGUGGAAUCUUCAUGAUAAUGUACUCCUGGUAUGUUGUCAUAGAGUCUCCAUUUGAUUUCACAAUUGAACCUGAACCAAACCCAUGUGAGGUGAAGAAGCCAUGCAGAGUUGAGUCCUCUACAGAGAGAACAGGCAUUUUGCAGGCAUGUAUCUAGAUUUGAUUUCCUUCUGUUUUUAAAUGUGAAGCACCUCUAUGAGCUGUAAGUUAAACUCCCUCACAGGACCACAGUUAUUUAUGUGCUCUCCAUGUACACAUGCCAGCUUCCCACUGCUUACGCACUGUAUCUCAAUCCAACAUGCAUCUAUAACUACAUAUAUGCUUUUUGCAGGACACAAAUGUGAAAGGUACAGAACAUGCAAAUUAAGAGUGGUCCUUUUUCUUGGUCCAAGAUGAUGAUGACCUGAUAUUGAGCCUGCUAUUUUGCAGUGGCUUUUACAGUUGUAUGUUCACAGCUACCUGAGGAAAUUUUGCACAUGAUUUUCAUCCUGGUGGUGCUACAAGAUGGUGACCCUGCAGUUCAUACUCUGGCUCUCACGUGCACACGUUUCUGGAAGAUAGUAAGAGAAGAAUGCUUUCUGAAGGAAGCACACUUCUGCUGGCUUGACAGUGUGGUGAACUGGAAAGCAUUUUCAGAGGAGCAUAGAAGGACCUACAGAAUCCCAUAUCGAAUCUCCUGUUGCAUUCAGUGCAAAUCUCUCUACAAAGACUGUGAAGGCUACAGGGGAUGUGGGCAGAGGGGAAAACUACAAGGAUUCUACUCCGACAAUGAAUUUGAAGGAUUCUGCAGCGCUGACUGUUUUUAUGAGGCACUUUGUAAUAACUGAUUCUCUAUUGGACAUGUGAAAUGUGUGUUAGGCUCUGACUACAUGCAUACUACAUAUUUGUUUAAUCUCAGUUCUGUAAAACUGUAAGCACUUUAUAUUGCAGUUAACAAAUUCAGUAAACAAAGAAUUUAUUAUUUUUUUUGCACAUAUAUUGUGAUGUAGUG